ACAAAAUGAGGUAAAAUGGCGGUUAGCGGAUGGAACAACAACUUGUCUCGUCGACUUCACUCAGAUGUCCAGGUUCUGUGUCAGCCUGCGUAGUUCCAGCAGGUUGGCAUGAAGGCUCCCGGUAGGUACGUCCUUGGCUGAGGACGUCUCCGAGGACUCGUCCAUGGAAGAAUCUGUGGAUAGCGCAGAGUCUGUGACGUCGUUACCCCGGAGAUGGGAGCACAGUGAGCGCACCUCACAGUAGGCCUGCCAUAGUUGAAGACGCAGCUGGAGGGGAGAAGACAAAAGCAACAUAUGUGGGGAUUUGAAGGCUUGACCGGUGAGGGGUGAGGCUUUGCAGGCUGUUCUCCUCCGUUAGCUCCUCUAGUUGAGCUGCCAGCUGUCUGUGGGACAACUGAACCUCCAGAAGCGCCACCUGACUCUGCUGCAACUGGACAUGACAGAAGAGUCACAACCAGGCUUAACAACUCCAAGUACAGUGUCUGCUAGCAAGAGAUCUCCUUGCAGCUGCUGAACGUCGCUCUCCAACUCGGCCACGCGACUCUCCCACACCCCCUCUCGACUUUCCAGACGCCAACGCAACUCAUGCUUCUCCUGCUCCAAGUGCUUCGGGGAGAAGAGAAGUGGUACAGAAUUAGAUAUUACAUCAGCAGUUGUCCCAUUUUAAAAUCUGUGUAAAGUAGGGGAUGAGACGGUUUACGAAAAAUGUUCUAACUGUUGGCUUGACCUGGCACAGUUCGGAGCGAAUCUGUUAUUCACAACAUGGGGACGAUGUGGGGACUCGAAUUCCAAUCCGCCCCCCUCACUUUUCCAACAGAGGAUUAAUGUUCCAUUAUUUAGAUGAAUUUUACAUUGCAGAGUCCUAGAGGCUGUGACUGUAGAGGUCUGCUAUGACAGUAACACAACUGAAAUAAAGAAUAACUGAAUGAUGUGAUUUUACAUUGCAGAGUCCUAGAGGCUGUGACUGUAGAGGUCUAUUAUGACAGUAACACACCUGAAAUAAAGAAUAACAACUGAAUGAUGUGAUUUUACAUUGCAGAGUCCUAGAGGCUGUGACUGUAGAGGUCUGCUAUGACAGUAACACAACUGAAAUAAAGAAUAACAACUGAAUGAUGUGAUUUUACAUUACAGAGUCCUAGAGGCUGUGACUGUAGAGGUCUGCUAUGACAGUAACACAACUGAAAUAAAGAAUAACAACUGAAUGAUGUGAUUUUACAUUGCAGAGUCCUAGAGGCUGUGACUGUAGAGGUCUACUAUGACAGUAACACAACUGAAAUAAAGAAUAACAACUGAAUGAUGUGAUUUUACAUUGCAGAGUCCUAGAGGCUGUGACUGUAGAGGUCUACUAUGACAGUAACACAACUGAAAUAAAGAAUAACAACGGAAUGAUGUGAUUUUACAUUGCAGAGUCCUAGAGGCUGUGACUGUAGAGGUCUAUUAUGACAGUAACACAACUGAAAUAAAGAAUAACAACUGAAUGAUGUGAUUUUACAUUACAGAGUCCUAGAGGCUGUGACUGUAGAGGUCUAUUAUGACAGUAACACAACUGAAAUAAAGAAUAACAAUGAAAUGAUGUGAUUUUACAUUGCAGAGUC